ensembl:lincRNA
UCUCUUCCUGCUGCCAGAUGUAGAACUCUAGGGUUCCGUUUCCAGCACCGCAGAGGCCUGUGCACCACCAUGCUUCAUACCACGGCAAUUACAGCCUAAAUCUCUAAACAUAGGUUCAAUGUGAAAUUGAUCUAUUUCUUCCUCAUGAUGCUCUGAGUCGCCUUUGCGUUCAGUUGAUGGAGGUGGACGUUGAUUGUGCUGAUAUCCUAAAUGGGUUGUGACUCCCUCAUGGUGGACCGGAAUCAAGGAUCUAUGCGAUGUGAAUGGACGGUUUCUCUACAUUGGCUCUCGUCUGUGUGUACCGCAUGGACCCUGGCCAGAGUCCAGCCUACCAGAAUGUUUUAAAACUUAGGAUUAAAAUAUAGCGGGCUGGAGAGAUGGCUCAGCAGUUAAGACCACUGACUGUUCUUCCUGAGGUCCUGAGUUCAAUUCCCGCAACCACAUGCCGGCUCAGCCAUCUGUAAUGGGAUCUGAUGCCUUCUUCUAGUGUGUCUGAAGACUUCAACAGUAUACUCACAUAUAUAUAAUAAAAUAAAUUGUAAAAAAAAAAAAAAAGGUAAAAUAAAAUAUAGCAACUUAUGCCUUCAAGGAAGGUAUAGCUAGCUUUACUAUUCAGUCAGCAUUAUUUUAAGUGUACAAUUCACCAGUGUCUAAAAAUAAAGAUAUUUCUUAUUCUCAGGA